rnacentral:rRNA from 1 species
AUGGAAUUGAGUUUGUCUCAUACGCUUCAUCUUUUUAAUAUCUUUUGUGAGUAUGAUGAAAAGGAAAAUUGUGCUCAAGUGCUAGAAGAAGAAUGCAUUAAAAUGCUUGGUACUAGAUCUUUGAAUAAUGAGCAUGAUUGCAAUGUUGUUAGUAUGAAUUCCUUGAAUAUCCAUGAUGCUAAUGAUAUGCAAAGCCACAAGCUUGGGGAAUCUAUGUUUGAUAAAGAUGAUAUUUUUUGUCCCCCAAGUUUUGAUGAGAAUAUUUAUUAUGAUGAAAGCAUGCCUCCUAUUUAUGAUGAUUAUAUUGAUGAAAGUGGGUUUGGAAGAGUGUCAACUUUAGGAAGUAGUGAUCCCACUAUUUUGGAGGAUGUUGAAGCCUAUUGUGAUGAAUAUGAAAGUGGAUUUGGAAGAGUGUCAACUUUAUUUAGUGAUGAUUCCACUAUCUUGGAAGUGGUUUCAAUCGAUUAUGAUGAGAACAAAGUUGGUACUUAUGAUGAUUAUUGUGAUGACUUGUAUGCUAUUAAGAAUAAUGAUAACCAUGAAACUUGUCAUCAUGAUUUUAGUUUUCAAUUGGAUUAUGCCUCACAUGAUAAUUAUUUUGUUGAGUUUGCUCCCACUACUAUUGAUAAGAAUAAAUUUGCUUAUGUGGAGAGUAGUAAAAUUUCUAUGCAAGUAGAUCAUGAAAAGAAUGCUUUAGGUGCUGGUUAUAUUGUUGAAUUCAUUCAUGAUGCUACUGAAAAUUAUUAUGAGGUAGGAACAUAUGCUUGUAGGAAUUGCAAUAAUAUCAAGUUUCCUCUCUAUGUGUUGAAAAUUUUGAAGCUAUGCUUGUUUUACCUUCCUAUGCUAGUUGAUUAUUGUUCCCAUAAGUUGUUUGCUCACAAAAUCCCUAUGCAUAGGAAGUGGGUUAGACUUAAAUGUUCUAGUCAUAUUCUUCAUGAUGCUCUCCUUAUGUUUCAAUUCUUAUCAUUUUUGUGA